GGGCCGUUAGCUCAGUUGGUAGAGCAGUUGACUCUUAAUCAAUAGGUCCAAGGUUCGAAUCCUUGACGGCCCACCA
rnacentral:tRNA from 484 species